AGGACGAACGCUGGCGGCGUGCUUAACACAUGCAAGUCGAACGGUGAUGGAAGAGCUUGCUCUUCUUGAUCAGUGGCGAACGGGUGAGUAACACGUGAGUAACCUGCCCUUGACUCUGGGAUAAGCGUUGGAAACGACGUCUAAUACCGGAUACGAGAUGCGAUCGCAUGGUCUGCAUCUGGAAAGUUUUUCGGUCAAGGAUGGACUCGCGGCCUAUCAGCUUGUUGGUGAGGUAAUGGCUCACCAAGGCGUCGACGGGUA
rnacentral:rRNA from 1 species